rnacentral:pre_miRNA from 1 species
UGAAACACGAAUCAUCGUUAAACUCGAUCCCAAUCGCCUAAACACAUACAUGUGUUUAGGCGAUUGGGAUCGAGUUUGACGAUGAUUCGUGUUUCAAUA